AGCGGGCAUGAGUAAGUCCUGCUGGAAUGUGGAUCUCUAUGUGGUGCAGCAACAGAAGACCGAGAUCAGAAUAUUAGAUAAGUAUUUUCAGAUAGCAAAUGCAAUUUAAGCUAUGGAAGUUCUUGCCUAAGGUGGACCAUGAAAGGGUAAAAGCUAGCCCACAUGUUGUAGGAUAGAGAGUAGCUGACCCCAUCAGAUAAAAUGAGAGAAAUGGCGUUAACAAAUAAUUCAAAGCCCCAUGGGUAACUGAAUGAAAUAGGUUUUACAUUUGCUUCUAUGAUGUUUACAGUAUAAAAUGCUAUGCCCUCCAGAGAAAAAUUCAAGAGAAUGAUAAAUUUCUGCCCAGGUAAGAAAAAGAAUGAAAUCUUGGACCUAACUGUUGUAUCCAGACAGAUACUACUUGAAGUUAGAGUACUGGCCCAUGUACUACAUCCUUGAACAGCAGGUUUUAAAUGCUCAUUAGAUACCCUACAUCCUGACCCUAUGGAACAGGCGAUGCUUGUUGCCUUUGUAUUGUUUGAGACGACGUCUUAUGUAACCUAAGCAAGCCUGGAACUCGUGGGCACCUCUGGGUGAUAGAAUCCCGCAUCACUAGACUUUGAUGCUGCACUUUUCAUGAUGGUAUGUAUCAUUUACUCUCCAAAUCUCUAAGAUGUUAAGUGCCAUCAGGAAAGGCAGCUCAACAUGGACAAAGUGCGUGUCUCUAGUGAAUAUGAGAAAAGACGUCUGGUGAUUAAUUUCCUCACUCACUACCAUGCCAGGCACCUUUCUUAUUAAUGCCCUUUAACAUUGUAAAUACAGAAUUAAAAUGGACCUGGUUUCCCCAGGCAAUAACAGCGUAAGAUCUGCCACACACUGGUUCUUUGCCCUCUCUAUGCCCUUCUAGGUUUAAGUAGAAGCAGAACUCUGAGUUUCUAACCAAAACCCAGCUGUAGCGUUCUGCUGGGUCCUUGCACCUACCCCACUAGGAAUGUCUACCUUCUAACACUAAAGCAUAUGGCAGUGAGGUAGCACUCUAUGGUGAGCCCUCCUAGGCAUGAGGUAGACAUUGCUGGCAGCUUCCUUAGAGAUUCUGUCAGACAAGGUCUGGCCUGUAACAGAGCCACCACUUGAAAGCUGUACCACACAGACAACAUAGAGAGAAUUAGGCCAGAAGUGACUUCCAGCUUGGGGGGGGUCCACCUCCAUUAAAUUAUAUCAGACUGAGAAAUGACGGGACUCUCUUUAAGUGGGAGGGUGCUGAAAUGCUGAUCUCUGACCUGGAUCUGUUGCUGAAGCAAGUUGAUUUUGUGUUGUUGCUGCAGAAGCUGCUGCUGUUGCCUCGCGAUCUGUGGAGAAACAGAGAACACUGACAACACAGGGUAGGGAAGACCAACCUUCUGCCCGCUGCAGUUGGAUCUGACACCAGCUGAAAGAUGGAAGCACCGCCCUUCCAUGAGCUGAGUUGUCAGCAAUUCAUCCUUAAGGAGAAUCAAGAGAGACAUUCCGUCUCAGCAACCACGUACACCUUGUUUAAAGCCUAAACGGUGCCUCGUCUCAAAUGUGUCAUCCAUACCCUUUCAAUCCAAUUAGAAGUCCACCCU
ensembl:antisense Sox5os1 SRY (sex determining region Y)-box 5, opposite strand 1